rnacentral:tRNA from 1 species
GAGGGAUGGCCGAGUGGCUUAAGGCGACGGUCUUGAAAACCGUUUUCCGGUAUCUCCGGAACGGGAGUUCGUAUCUCCCUCCCUCCGCUCCA